GACGAACGCUGGCGGCGUGCUUAACACAUGCAAGUCGAACGGUAAGGCCCUUCGGGGUACACGAGUGGCGAACGGGUGAGUAACACGUGGGUGAUCUGCCCUGCACUUCGGGAUAAGCCUGGGAAACUGGGUCUAAUACCGGAUAGGACUCCGGACUGCAUGGUCUGGGGUGGAAAGCUUUUGCGGUGUGGGAUGGGCCCGCGGCCUAUCAGCUUGUUGGUGGGGUGAUGGCCUACCAAGGCGACGACGGGUAGCCGGCCUGAGAGGGUGACCGGCCACACUGGGACUGAGAUGCGGCCCAGACUCCUACGGGAGGCAGCAGUGGGGAAUAUUGCACAUGGGCGCAAGCCUGAUGCAGCGACGCCGCGUGAGGGAUGACGGCCUUCGGGUUGUAAACCGCUUUCAGCACCGACGAAGCGCAAGUGACGGUAGGUGCAGAAGAAGGACCGGCCAACUACGUGCCAGCCGCCGCCGUAA
rnacentral:rRNA from 1 species